rnacentral:RNase_P_RNA from 1 species
UAGCAAGGUUGCUCUAUCGCUGCCUGCGUAAGCAGGGGGAGGAAAGUCCGAGCAACACAGAGCGCCGCACGAGCUAACGACUCGAUGUCCGUGAGGGUGUAGUAGCGUAACAGAAAAUAACCGCCGUAGCGGGGUAUAGGCGGGGAGAAAUCCUUGCCUGUACCUUUAUAACGCUGCGGUAAGGGUGAAAAGGCGGGGUAAGAGCCCACCGCGACGGCAGCAAUGUUCGUCGGCAGUACGCCUUGCGGGUUGCAAGACCAUGUAUAUCGACAAUUAAGGGUUGCUCGCCCGAUGUCGAGGGGUAGGUUGCUGGAGGCUGUGAGUGAUUGCAGUCGUAGAUAAAUGAUAGAGGCCCGAUGCUUGUAGGCUUUGGCUGUAAUAGGCUUAAAGUUGGGGCGUGGGGUACAGAACUCGGCUUAUAGACCUUGCUAAAAA